rnacentral:rRNA from 1 species
CAUAGACGCGAAACCUAGUGAUCUAGGCCUGUCCAGGCUGAAGCUGAGGUAAGACUCAGUGGAGGGCCGAACUCACCGCCGUUGAAAAGUUGGGAGAUGAGAUAGGUCUAGGGGUGAAAAGCCAAUCGAACUAGGAGAUAGCUCGUUCUCUCCGAAAUGCAUUUAGGUGCAGCCUUGAACUGAGAUAUGUGGGGGUAGAGCUCUGUAUGAUCUAGGGGGCGUACUGCUUACCGAAAUCAAGCAAACUGCGAAUACCGCAUAUUAAUAGCCAGGAGUGAGUCCGUGGAUGACAAGGUCCUCGGACGAGAGGGGAACAGCCCAGACCGCCAGCUAAGGUCCCUAAUUAUGUCUAAGUGGGAAAGGAGGUGGAUAUUCACAGACAACCAGGAGGUUGGCUUAGAAGCAGCCAUACCUUGAAAGAGUGCGUAAUAGCUCACUGGUCGAGAGUAUCUGCGCCGAAGAUAUAACGGGGCUAAGACAUGAACCGAAGCUGCGGAAGCGUGGUAACACGUUUGGUAGGAGAGCGUUCUGUAGGCCGUAGAAGGUGUCCUGGAAGGGAUGCUGGAGGUAUCAGAAGUGAGAAUGCAGGAAUGAGUAGCGAGAAGGAGGGUGAGAAUCCCUCCGGCCGGAAGUCCAAGGUUUCCAGGGGAAGGUUUGUCCGCCCUGGGGGAGUCGGGACCUAAGCAUAAGCAGAGCUGCGAAGGCGAAUGGAAAACAGGUUAAUAUUCCUGUACCGCUGUGGACUGAUUGAAAGAUGGAGUGACGCAGGAAGGUAUGCGGGAAGGCUGACGGAAUAGCCUUUCUAAGGGUGAAGCGUGGACAUAUAGGCAAAUCCGUAUGUUUAAACGUGAGGCCUGAUGGGGAAGUACCAUAAGGUAUAAGCCGCAGAUCCUACACUGCCGGGAAAAACUUCUAUUUAGGGAAAUAGCGCCCGUACUGUAAACCGACACAGGUGGACAGAGUGAGAAACUUAAGGCCGACAGGACAACUCUGGCUAAGGAACUCUGCAAAAUGGCCCCGUAACUUCGGGAGAAGGGGUACCCGUGCUAACUGAAGGGAGAGACACCUGGAGGGGAAGCGGGUCGCAGUGAAGAGUCCCAAGCAACUGUUUACCAAAAACACAGGUCUAUGCUAAGCUGGAAGGCGACGUAUAUGGGCUGACACCUGCCCAGUGCCGGAAGGUUAAGAGGAGGAUUGAGAGAUUCGAAUUGAAGCCCCGGUGAACGGCGGCCGUAACUAUAACGGUCCUAAGGUAGCGAAAUUCCUUGUCGGGUAAGUUCCGACCUGCACGAAUGGUGAAAUGAUUUGGGAGCUGUCUUGGCCGGAGACCUGGUGAAGUUGUAAUGCCGGUGAAGAUACCGGUUACCUGCAGUAGGACGGAAAGACCCCGUGGAGCUUUACUGUAGCCUGGCAUUGGGUUUCGGCAAUGUGUGUAUAGGAUAGCUGGGAGGCUAAGAAGAUAUGGCGUCAGCUGUAUUGGAGCCGCUGUUGGAAUACCAGCCACGCAUUGUUGGGAUUCUAAUCUCAUAAGAUGGGAGACAGUGCUAGGUGGGCAGUUUGACUGGGGCGGUCGCCUCCAAAAGAGUAACGGAGGCGUUCAAAGGUUCCCUCAGGCUGGAUGGAAAUCAGCCGGAGAGUGCAAACGCAAAAGGGAGCUUGACUGCGAGACUGACGGGUCGAGCAGGCACGAAAGUGGGAGUUAGUGAUCCGGCGGUGCUGAAUGGAAAGGCCGUCGCUCAACGGAUAAAAGCUACCCCGGGGAUAACAGGCUGAUACUUCCCAAGAGUCCAUAUCGACGGAAGUGUUUGGCACCUCGAUGUCGGCUCGUCUCAUCCUGGGGCUGGAGAAGGUCCCAAGGGUUGGGCUGUUCGCCCAUUAAAGAGGCACGCGAGCUGGGUUCAGAACGUCGUGAGACAGUUCGGUCCCUAUCCACUGCAGGCG